rnacentral:ncRNA from 17 species
UUUAAUAGAAUGGGGAGCUUGCGGAUGCAGGCUGAGAGUAUGAUUAGGAAACCAUCAUAGACCAUUUGAACCUGUUGGAUAAUGCCAGCGUAGGGAAUGUGAGUAGAUUGUAA